UCAUGCCACCAUCAGAUAAAACGAGCGAUCCUGUAGAGAGAGAACGCGGAGGUCCGAUCCUGCACCUUCAACGGGGUCCAUGGCUUCUCUGGCAUGCGAGAGAUGGAAUUAUGCGAGUUGCGAACGCCACAGAUCUUAUCUCCACUCAAUGAUUUCCACCAGCUUUUGAUCUGCGGUCCUCAGUCGCUGGUGCCUUUUCGACCACAUGCAUCGCACGUGCAUGGCGGUCGUCGGUCAAUGCUGCUGCCGAUCUGAUGAUGGCAUUUCCUGCCCUACGUACGGCCUUCCCAUCAUGCAGCGUGCACGCGCACCGUCGGAUCACGCCCGCCUUCGGUACCGGUGACGAGCGACCACAAAAGAGAAUUGGGGCCCCACGUGAGUCGUGUGGUUUUUAGAGAGCGGAGGUGACGGGUGGGUUUCCGCUUCAGUAAUUAAUGAGAAAGAUACGGGUCUUCUAAAUGAUACCGCGUUGGGUUGACCGAGGGAGGUGGGAAUUAAAUGCUGACCGUGUGAUGUUGGGGUCACGCUGCGGAUGCCGUCCACGGCAUGGGCCCGACCAACUUAAGACGGUCUCGGUGGGUACAUGGAGCGGGUGGCGACGAACCCGCGUUCUCCCACCUGCUUAGGCCUUCCGAUCGUGAACGGACGGUGAUCGAGACGGUGGGGCCACCACGUCGCUAGAGGUGGAAGGUGGUCGGGUUUAAACAUGGGGAGGAUCGCGUGGGCCCGCCCGAGUAUUGCUCUCUUUCGUGGGAACAGCGGUAAGUCAGUCCUCUUCUUCAUACGUUAUGGGAACCCUCUCUCUCUCUCUCUCUCUGGCACAGCUUUGGGAGCAUUGUUUCAGUUCAUCUGCAUCACAAUACCAAAGGAAAAAUGAGAAGGAACGGCAGCCAAGUCGAAGACAUAUGCUGCAGAAUGUGGCACUCUCAGAAUAAUACAAAAAAGUCUUCAGCCUUCAUACCGUUUCCAUGCGAAUUUUUCAGCACAGCCACAUGCGUUUCCCAGCUAGAAAGAACCCACCCACCAAGUGAUCGACAAAUCGAUGGGAGAAAGGGGAGGAGGAUUUAAUGCUCUUCCAUCAUCGUCGAUGAACAGUUCAGACUGAUUCGUGAAACCAAACAGGACAACAGUAGCCAUUCUCACACUCACAGGCCACAUGGGAGGAAGAAGACAGAGGAGUGCUCUGCAAGGGACAGCAGCAGCAAAAUCAUGGCUUGCAGGCGUGCGGGAACCUCAAAAUGAGGGGUGUUAUUUAGUGUCUCGAGGUUGGAGGAAGCCUCCUCCACUAAUUAAAAACAAGCACUUUGAAUUGAAUACAGCCAAACUGGCCAUUUUGAGUGGAAUGAGACUUGAGCCUUCAUCAAGGAAGAAGAUUCAAGUUGGGACCAUCCGCUUCACAAUCUUA